rnacentral:rRNA from 1 species
GUGGGUAACCUGCCUGUAAGACUGGGAUAACUCCGGGAAACCGGGGCUAAUACCGGAUGGUUGUUUGAACCGCAUGGUUCAAACAUAAAAGGUGGCUUCGGCUACCACUUACAGAUGGACCCGCGGCGCAUUAGCUAGUUGGUGAGGUAACGGCUCACCAAGGCAACGAUGCGUAGCCGACCUGAGAGGGUGAUCGGCCACACUGGGACUGAGACACGGCCCAGACUCCUACGGGAGGCAGCAGUAGGGAAUCUUCCGCAAUGGACGAAAGUCUGACGGAGCAACGCCGCGUGAGUGAUGAAGGUUUUCGGAUCGUAAAGCUCUGUUGUUAGGGAAGAACAAGUACCGUUCGAAUAGGGCGGUACCUUGACGGUACCUAACCAGAAAGCCACGGCUAACUACGUGCCAGCAGCCGCGGUAAUACGUAGGUGGCAAGCGUUGUC